UGCAUCGCGUUAAUUUGGUCAGAAGAGUUGAAAGCAAAGAUGCACAGAUCCGCGAGUGCUCCCCGAGUCUCCGGGGACUUCCCGGUCAACUCCUCAUCAACUGCUUCACCGCAGCAGCAAAAGCAACAAUCUUCAACCACCGCAACCCACGACUCAGAGCACCACCACCACCAUGACGUGGAUCUGCCCACAUACGACCCCCUCUCUCAUGCCGCCAAGAAAGAACGGUCUCGCAUCAAGUCUGCAGAGAACGCCAUCCACUUAAUACCUCUCAUCCUUGCUCUCUGUGCCAUCAUCCUCUGGUUCUUCUCCAAUCCAGUUGUUGCAGCAUGAAGGUUAUGAGGAUUGAUGGUGAUAGUGAAGGAGCGGCAUGGAAUCAAACAAUCUAUGCCGAUAAGCCCCAUCAAGAUUGUUGGAGUAGAAAAACUAGCCGGUCCCUAUUGCUCAAGAAGAAGUUCUUGUCAGCCAUUUAUAUGAAUGUAAGAUGAUAUGACCCAGAAAAUUUAGUUUGCUAUCAACAAUAUUUUUAUUGUAGGCUUUUCAGUAUUCACAGUCGAGUCAGAAAGUAAGCCAUCAGAUAGUUAUUCAUUUCAGAAGUGCAGAAUUGCAUUUGCUUUGUAUCUGUUUCUGCAAGAACCCGUAGGCUAUGUAGAAGUACGAUAGAACAUAAACAUACACAAAGACACCACAUUUAUAGUGGUUCACCAUACCAUCGGAGGGCAUGGCUACGUCCACUUGAAUCUACUAUCAUGAGGCCUCAAUGCCUUAGGGUGUUACAAGUGUGGAGGUGUGGAAUAGUAAAGUUGGAUCAGUUGAGAGAUAGAGAGAGUGAGAGAGCUUUCUACAUAUAGGAAGCCUUCUUUUUAUAGCUAAGGAAGGUUCCCUCACAUAUUAUACUUUUGAUGUGGGACUAAUUACACAUAUAUAUUCUCAUGGUGCCUUCUUGUGGAGCUUGGAGGAGCACAUUCCUGUUGUGGCAUUGAUGAUCAUUCACCAUGGCGGGGUAGCCCGGACGUCGGUCUACCGGAAGUAUGUCGGAGGCGGGGCCCGCCAUGGCCGGAGCACGGUCUACGAGGUCGUUGCUUAUGCUUGACGGUAUAAGAUAUACAUCGUAUCUACAAGUUUCUUGACUAGUAUAUGGCCGGAGAAGGUAGUUCAUCACUACCGACAACAGUAUCACUCUGAUUAGAUGAGGAAUUUUUACUUGAUCAAUGGAUAGUCUUGCUAUGCCAUUCGAGUUUUGAUUUUUUUCAUUGCUUUACUAGGCUACUAUCCAGAGGGAUUAAUUU